UGACCCGCUGUCAGAGCAUAUUAAAAACUGCUCGUCCACUUGUGCCUUCCUGAACGAGCUACCAGGAGAAAAUCAAAUCCGCGAAGCCAGAUAUGCGGCGAUACCACCAGAGCCCGCCGAAGAAGUAAUGGAAAUAUUUCGUUUGCCCGGAGGGAAAACACUAAGGCGGCGGUUUUCAACUACAAUGUCAAUGGAUGUUAUUGCUAGCAUAGCAGGAAGUCAACCAGGAGCAACCAGAGAAUUCAACAUCCACUUCCCUGGAUCGAAAAAUUCUUUUUCGGCUUCCACUCUUACGGGC